rnacentral:rRNA from 1 species
ACGCUGGCGGCAUGCUUUACACAUGCAAGUCGAACGGCAGCGCGGGGCAACCUGGCGGCGAGUGGCGAACGGGUGAGUAAUAUAUCGGAACGUACCCAAGAGUGGGGGAUAACGUAGCGAAAGUUACGCUAAUACCGCAUACGAUCUAAGGAUGAAAGCAGGGGAUCUUCGGACCUUGUGCUCCUGGAGCGGCCGAUAUCUGAUUAGCUAGUUGGUGAGGUAAAGGCUCACCAAGGCCACGAUCAGUAGCUGGUCUGAGAGGACGACCAGCCACACUGGAACUGAGACACGGUCCAGACUCCUACGGGAGGCAGCAGUGGGGAAUUUUGGACAAUGGGCGAAAGCCUGAUCCAGCAAUGCCGCGUGAGUGAAGAAGGCCUUCGGGUUGUAAAGCUCUUUUGUCAGGGAAGAAACGGUUCGGGCUAAUAUCCUGAGCUAAUGACGGUACCUGAAGAAUAAGCACCGGCUAACUACGUGCCAGCAGCCGCGGUAAUACGUAGGGUGCAAGCGUUAAUCGGAAUUACUGGGCGUAAAGCGUGCGCAGGCGGUUUUGUAAGUCUGACGUGAAAUCCCCGGGCUCAACCUGGGAAUUGCGUUGGAGACUGCAAGGCUAGAAUCUGGCAGAGGGGGGUAGAAUUCCACGUGUAGCAGUGAAAUGCGUAGAGAUGUGGAGGAACACCGAUGGCGAAGGCAGCCCCCUGGGUCAAGAUUGACGCUCAUGCACGAAAGCGUGGGGAGCAAAC